UUUUGACACACCCCGACCCGAAUCAGGGCAUGCUGACCGUCACGUGAGGGUGACGUAACCAUGUGCACAGUGCGGAAGCGAUAAUGGUAAGAGAUAUACGAAUAAAUAAAAACCGAAAGCUAAUUAAUGUGCACUAAUAAGCAGAAAGUGCUAGGAAUGAGAUACAAGUGUAAAUACACCUAAUCAGAGCGUAGAAAGUCUAGGUGCAGUCCAGUAGGACAAGUACUAGUUAUACAGUACCAGAAGAGGUCCUACGAAUAUUAUAUUUUGUCAGAACCACCGAGAUCCACAAAUGCCACCAACAACAAGUCUACCUAAAACCUAGAGGGACACAAAAUAGAAAGUGUGAGUGGGAAAAAAUAAAGCUUUUCAAAAUCAUUUCAUUAUUAAAUGCUCUAACCCCUCGUCGUAAAACAUGUAUAGUUUUCCCAGAAAUAGAAUAUAUAUAUAUAUAUAUAUAUAUAUAUAUAUAUAUAUAUUCAAAUCAUGCUUCACAUAUCCAUAUUCAUAAGUAUGCCAUGCCAAAGUAUAAACAGAAUAAGUAACUCAGUUGAAAAUAAAUUCAUGAAAAUAACAUAUUGGCUGGAACCCCUGCAGAAGUUUGUACGGCUGAAUUCAUAGCUUAUUAGUCAAUCUAGCCGGAGUCACUACAGGUGACCUAUACAACACUACACUGCACACGAGUCGAAACCACUGGAAGGGUCUGUACGACAAGACUGAGUGUAAUAUAGUUAUGCUCAAUGCUACGCUCUCAUGAUAGAUGUGCGAUAAAUCGCUAGUCACCUACGAGUCGGAACCACCUAUAAUGGUCUGUACGACAAGACUGUGCACCUAAAUUGGAUCCAAUGUGAGCAUAGGGUGCCGGAGGUGACAUCAUAAACAGGCCUGAACCAUAUCUCUAGCUAAAUCACAAUCACCCGGGGUGCAGGUUUAUGAGCUCUCAAUCACAUCUCAUAUUAUCAAUAUUUCAUAUAACAAAACAUAACUCACCUGGUAGUUACCUGAGCGUCCACAACACCAAUUCAUAUUAUGCAUCAUAUACUAAUUCAUAUGCUAAAUGUAAAUUUAUAUGCAUGGCAUUUCAAAGCAUACUUUCAUUUAAACACAUUUUCUAGGAAAAUAUCAAGUAUAUAAAUAUAUACUGAAAACCAAAAGCCCACUCACUGGUAUGUCGAAGGGUCGUAGCCCCCGAGUCGCCCUUGACUGCAAUCGUCCUCGGGAUAAGUCUUCUCUAUAUGCGAAACAACUAUAAAAACGUUAAUGUAAAGCACAUAACCAAUACUAGCUAAUAACUUCUCUUAUAUUGCUCAAAUGAGGUAUAUAAAUAUACCAUCGUGACCUACACGACUCCACAAACAUGCCCAAAUUUUUAGAAAAAUUUUCCGACCACCCACGCGUCGUCACGUGCCGCCCAAGGCACGGCCAGACGCGUCGCCCAAGCGCGGGCACGUGCCAGGCACACUGACGGUAACCCUAACGGCGUUAGGGAAUAUUCCGUUAAAUAAUAGCAUAUACCGUUAAAACUAACCUGACGCCGUUAGAAUAUUCCGUCAAAGUUGACGGAAUAUUCGCUCAUCUUCUUCCUUCGACUCCGGUGACCGUCGCCGUCGCCGGAAAACUGGUAAUUCGAAAAACCUUGAUAUAUCAGUCAAUUCUUAACCAAAUUACCUCAAAUUUGUCCCAAAAUGAAGCAUGUAAUUAGAAGAACAAAGUCUUACCAAUUUCAAGGCUUGAAAUCCACGGAAUCUCGACGGAGAAAACUCGAUAAUCCGGCCAAAACUUGAAACUCGCCAAACUCGACUUCUCGACGUCCAAACACUUCGUUUUUCUUCUCCGAGCUUCGUGAAGACGUUCUAAAGCUUCCUAUAACCUUGAAAUCUCUCAAAAACUCCACAUUAAUGUGUGCAUGAACAGUACCUCAAUUUGGGGUUCUUGGUUCUUACGAUCCCGAAGCUUUCACGUCCUAAAAAUGGUUUGGUUAAGAUCCUAAGGUUACAAGGAACUCAAACAUGGCCUCUAAAGGUUCGAUUUGCAAAGUUUCGUGAGGGUUGGAGUUUGUCCGUACGGUUCGUACGGAAAAAGAAGAGAAUCGAGAGGGAGGAGAGAGGGAGAGUACACGGGAAGGAGAGAGAGGGAGUUGGAGUGUGUGUGUGAUCCAAUUUUUUUUUUGACUUCCAAACAACCACAAAACCAUAACAACUUUAAGUCCUAAUUGGUUCCAAAAUAUUAGGGACUUAAUGUAUUAGUUCACUUUUAAACUUAAACCACACAACCACACAAAACGUCCAAGGGCAAUUUUGUCUUUUCACACUUCCGAGAAAAUAUUUCGGGACAAGCAUUGACACCUUUUUUAGCCCUACUCAUCUUUAUUUACUGCAGUCAAGCUGAAUAAAAAAACAUAAAUAAAUAUGUUUAAACAGGGAUGUGUAAGAGCAAGUCCACCCCUAAGGACUUUGCGCCAGCACCCAGCGCAUUUAUCCACUCAAUG
rnacentral:lncRNA from 1 species